GUGUCAGCAGCCGCGGUAAUACGAAGGGUGCAAGCGUUGUUCGGAUUUAUUGGGCGUAAAGCGCGCGUAGGCGGACCUGCAAGUCAGAUGUGAAAUCUCGGGGCUCAACCCCGAAACUGCGUCUGAAACUACAGGUCUAGAAUCUUGGAGGGGGUAGGGGAAUUUCGCAUGUAGGGGUAAAAUCCGUAGAUAUGCGAAGGAACACCAGAGGCGAAGGCGCCUGCCUGGACAAGUAUUGACGCUGAGGCGCGAAAGCGUGGGGAUCAAACAGGAUUAGAUACCCUGGUAGUCCACGCUGUAAACGAUGAACACUAGAUAUUGAGGGAUUUGACCCCCACAGUGUCGUAGCUAACGCGUUAAGUGUUCCGCCUGGGAAGUACGGUCGCAAGACUAAA
rnacentral:rRNA from 1 species